AAUACAAUACAGUAAAGACUCUAGACUUUGAAUUUCUAAGAUUUAUCAAAUCAGUGCAGAAAUUCUGUGUGCUUUGUAGAAUCAAUUUGACAGAGUUUUGGCGCUUUUGAACUUGUAUAUCUCUAUCUACAAUCUUCAAGUCUUCACUCCUUUAUAUAGAGGUGUGAAAGAGACGUUGAGAUUAUCAGCACGUCUAAAGAGUCGUUUGAAAUCCUUUAAUCAUCCACCAGUGAUCCUUUGCCUGAUAUGGGUGUAGUCCUUUGAAGAGUUAGCUUCAAAAUCAUUCCCAUCUUGAAGGCGCACAUUCUGCAGGCAAGGCUGUUGUUUUGUCUUGUAGCGAAGACAAAAACAGAGUAAUGGAGGUAGUGGUUGUACACUUGUACUUUGUCAACUCUAGUAAAGAGAGACAAGUGCUCAGUGCUAUCCAUAUAUCCGUUGGAACCUCCCUUUCAAUUCUUUGUUCUUCUUGGAUAAGACUGAAUUGAGAGCCAGCUACUUUGAAUCUUCAGUUUGAUUGAGGGAUCAAAUGCAGCUUCUGGUGAAAAUAUUUUGCUUCUGAUGAAAACCUUGCUUCUGAUGAUCCUCUGCUUCUGAUGACGUCAUCACUUCAGAAGCACUCUGAACUUCAGGAGCGAUUUUCUUCAGAUGCUUGGAAUUCUUUUUCUUUCCAUUGUUCUUCCAGGACCUGUUGAAAUUACUUGACUAGACUUUGGUCCUGUACACUUGAACAAUUAUUAGUAAUAACCAAUUGACAAUUUUUAAUACCUUGUUAUCAUCAAAACUCAAUAAGGUUCAUUGUGAAACACAUUUUGUUCCAACAUUCUUCGGUCUACAACAGCUCCUUCUUCAUCUAAAUCCAGGUCAUCAACUCCAUCUUCCAAUAUGUACCAUAGCUCUUCAUCCAAACCCCAUGAUAAAGCUAUACAUAUUUGUUUUCCACCAUGAAAACUCUUCUGGAUCUCCAUUAAACUUUGGAGCUUUACCAGAGUCUGUUUUCUUGUCAGCAGUAUCAUAGUCAUGUUUGACACUUGUGUAUUUUAAGGUUGUAGUUGAUUCCUCUCCUCCAAGACAUGUUUUUCUAUAGGAUCUUGAUCUGUAACACUGUUAAGCGCUAUGAUAACAGAGCAAGCUCUGAUACCAAUUGAAGGUGAGAAAAACACAAGAAGGGGGGGUUGAAUUGUGUUUUCUUUUUCUCUCUUAAAAAAUCUUCUUCUGAUAAACCUUCAGAAGCAGUUUGUGAGUGCUUCUGAUGAACUGAUCAGAAUUGGAUAUGCAGCGGAAAAGAACAGAGCAGAGAAAAGAAAGACAAAGACACAAGCAGUUAUCCUGGUUCCUUCCACAACACGGAAGUAGUCCAGUCCCCCUUGUACUUCCAAGGAGAUUUCACUAUAAUCACAAAGAUUACAACUGCUCAAUACUAUCUAAGUGUGAGACUUCACAAAGAUGCUCAAGCACACACGCAAGAGUCUUCCAAUGCUCAAGCACUAAGCAAGAGACUUCUAAUGCUCAAGCACGCAGGCAAGAGACUUCUGAUCAAACAAAAAUACAGAGAAUUGAGUUUGACUUGAACACUUGAUAUACAAUCAGUGGUGUUCUCAAUACAAUACAGUAAAGACUCUAGACUUUGAAUUUCUAAGAUGUAUCAAAUCAGUGCAGAAAUUCAGUGUGCUUUGUAGAAUCAAUUUGACAGAGUUUUGGCGCUUUUGAACUUGUAUAUCUCUAUCUUCUAUCUUCAAGUCUUCACUCCUUUAUAUAGAGGCGUGAAAGAGACGUUGAGAUAAUCAGCACGUCUAAAGAGUCGUUUGAAAUCCUUUGAUCAUCCACCAGUAAUCCUUUGCCUGAUUUGGG
rnacentral:lncRNA from 1 species